rnacentral:rRNA from 1 species
CCUACGGGAGGCUGCAGUGGGGAAUAUUGGACAAUGGGCGAAAGCCUGAUCCAGCAAUGCCGCGUGAGUGAUGAAGGCCUUAGGGUUGUAAAGCUCUUUUACCAGGGAUGCAGUACCUGGAGAAUAAGCUCCGGCUAACUCCGUGCCAGCAGCCGCGGUAAUACGGAGGGAGCUAGCGUUGUUCGGAAUUACUGGGCGUAAAGCGUACGUAGGCGGUUAUUCAAGUCAGAGGUGAAAGCCCGGGGCUCAACCCCGGAACGGCCUUUGAAACUAGAUAGCUAGAGUCUUGGAGAGGUUAGUGGAAUUCCGAGUGUAGAGGUGAAAUUCGUAGAUAUUCGGAAGAACACCAGUGGCGAAGGCGACUAACUGGACAGACUGACGCUGAGGUACGAAAGCGUGGGGAGCAAACAGGAUUAGAUACCCUUGUAGUC